AUUCUGCAUUUCUACUCGAAUCGAAAUUUUCUCCGAUUGGCAACUUUGGUAUUCUGCGUUUCGAUUCAACUUCGAAAAUUCCAAUUCUAUGUAUUCUGCAUUGCGAUCGUAAUUACGUUUUUGUACGUUGAAGUUUUGUUGGCGGAAAGCCGUUAUAUAUUCAUUUUCGUGCAUUUGGAUAAAAUAAUUUCCUCAAAUAUGUCAAAAGUAACAACGGCAGAGCAAUACGAAAAAUUGUGUGAUAUGAUGGCCACGAAAAGAGAUAUUGCGCACGGCUUCCAAAAGCGACCGAAGGAAGAAGUACAGGAGUUUUAAUAGGAGGUUGCAAGGAAUUUAAAUGCACUUGGCUCACCAACAAAAGAUUCCAAUACAUGGAGAAAGGUGAUAGCUUUGACGGGUUUGGAAACGGAUGAUAUCCCUUCAACCAGUAGAGCUAGCAGCCAAAAUAGAGAGGCGAGGGCAGACAAGCAGAGCACUUCUUCAUUACUUAAGCAACAGAUACAAAUCAAAAAGAAUUUUAUGCAGAGACGAAAAAAUUCAAUGAAGCUGCCUUUGGUAAAAUGGAAGAAGUUACUUCAUAUUUACGACACAUGAAUCGUUCUCUAGAAACUUUGGCGGAGACUGCAGUGAAGCAACCUGAAGAACAGAAGCGACACAAUAGAAUUAAGGAAGAGCUGGUGAAGGAAAAAGUAGAAAUAAAAAUGCAAAUGCUAAGAUUAGGUCCAAAUUAUAAGCCGGAUUCAAAGUAGUCAUUUUUUAAUUGUUAGCCUUUUAUUUAUUUUACUAUUAUUCAUUUAUAUAACGAGCUGUGAAAUGAA